UCUCCGUUGGUGAACCAGCGGAGGGAUCAUUACUGAGUGAGGGUCUCCGGGCCCGACCUCCAACCCUUUGUGAACCAAACUUGUUGCUUCGGGGGCGACCCUGCCGCUUCGGCGGUGCGGCGCCCCCGGAGGCCAUUAAACACUGCAUCAUUGCGUCGGAGUCUUAAUGAAUUUAAACAAAACUUUUAACAACGGAUCUCUUGGUUCUGGCAUCGAUGAAGAACGCAGC
rnacentral:misc_RNA from 1 species